rnacentral:rRNA from 1 species
CCCCGAAAAGACCGUCUCAGUUCGGAUCGCAGGCUGCAACCCGCCUGCGUGAAGUCGGAAUCGCUAGUAAUCGCGGAUCAGCAUGCCGCGGUGAAUACGUUCCCGGGCCUUGUACACACCGCCCGUCACACCAUGAGAGUCGGGAACACCCGAAGUCCGUAGCCUAACCGCAAGGGGGGCGCGGCCGAAGGUGGGUUCGAUAAUUGGGGUGAAGUCGUAACAAGGUAGC